CGGGCUUCUUACUGUUAGUUAAGCGGUAGAGAGAAGCUUGCUUCUCUUGAGAGCGGCGGACGGGUGAGUAAUGCCUAGGAAUCUGCCUGGUAGUGGGGGAUAACGUUCGGAAACGGACGCUAAUACCGCAUACGUCCUACGGGAGAAAGCAGGGGACCUUCGGGCCUUGCGCUAUCAGAUGAGCCUAGGUCGGAUUAGCUAGUUGGUGGGGUAAUGGCUCACCAAGGCGACGAUCCGUAACUGGUCUGAGAGGAUGAUCAGUCACACUGGAACUGAGACACGGUCCAGACUCCUACGGGAGGCAGCAGUGGGGAAUAUUGGACAAUGGGCGAAAGCCUGAUCCAGCCAUGCCGCGUGUGUGAAGAAGGUCUUCGGAUUGUAAAGCACUUUAAGUUGGGAGGAAGGGCAGUAGAUUAAUACUCUGCUGUUUUGACGUUACCGACAGAAUAAGCACCGGCUAACUCUGUGCCAGCAGCCGCGGUAAUACAGAGGGUGCAAGCGUUAAUCGGAAUUACUGGGCGUAAAGCGCGCGUAGGUGGUUUGUUAAGUUGGAUGUGAAAUCCCCGGGCUCAACCUGGGAACUGCAUUCAAAACUGACUGACUAGAGUAUGGUAGAGGGUGGUGGAAUUUCCUGUGUAGCGGUGAAAUGCGUAGAUAUAGGAAGGAACACCAGUGGCGAAGGCGACCACCUGGACUGAUACUGACACUGAGGUGCGAAAGCGUGGGGAGCAACAGGAUUAGAUACCCUGGUAGUCCACGCCGUAAACGAUGUCACUAGCCGUUGGGAGUCCUUGAGCUCUUAGUGGCGCAGCUACGCAUAGUGACCGCCUGGGGGAGUACGGCGCAGUUAAAAACUCAAUGAAUUGACUGGGGCCGCACAGCGGUGGAGCAUGGUGUUAUUCGAAUGCAGCGCAGACCUAACCAGCUGCACUGCAUGAACUUACCUAAAGGAUUGGUG
rnacentral:rRNA from 1 species